ACUAUAUUACUGGAGGAAGUGCUCGGCAAAAAAGUGUCCGCAAAAACAUGGCGGAUUUUCGCGCCAUAUGACGCCAUUUCCAUGACAACUGGUUCCUCCGGCUCAUGAAAUUACCGCUGACCAGGCUCAAUUCUGAGCCCGCUACAAUUUUCACCCCCCCUGGUUUUAUCAAAAAAAUUUUUGCUUUUCGAGGUUUUUGCAGUAAAAUCUCGUUGUUUUUUUAUAUUUUUUGAAUUUUUUCGACUUUUGACCAUUUGUUAAAAGAUUUAAAAGUCGUACACGCUAUUCUCACCCGCGAAAGACAACAAACCAAUAUGAAAAGCCCGAGAAAUUUAGGCAAAGGCGAUAUUUGAUGGCAGAGCUCACAGGUAAAUAUUUCACAUACUAUUGAUAUGUUUUUAUUUUUAAUUUUUAAAAGAUAAUGGGAGUAAAUGAUAGAAUACAAUCCAUUAGAUAACAGGCUCUUUGUAUAGUAUAACGUAUUAUUUUCCCCCAUGUGUUCAAAGUCUUGUCGUAAAAAAAUACAGAAACUUUGUUUCUAUAUUCAAAUUAAGUUUUUUUGUUGUUUUUUUCUUACUUUUACUAGCUUUGUUAAAUUGUUGGCUGGCCAUGGUUUUUGUUAAACAAAUGUUGUUUUAUUUAAUUCAGUUAAAUCAGUUUUUUCCUUCAAAUCCUUUGGGUUUUCUAUAUAGACUGAUGACUGAAAUCUGACAUGCUUGAUUUUAUGCAAUUGUAUGUGCUAAAUAAGUGUAUGUACAGGUGUAAAGGCAUGAAACAAUGUGCUUCUAUCUAUAUUCUUUGUGUUUAUAUAUACUAGAGUCUGUGGUUAUUAUAGUAUGCAUAAUCUAUAGGGUGCCAGUACAAGCUAGCCUAGAGGUGCCAGAUUAGCUCAGGAUACUGUGGGCAACUUAUCUGGUAAUAUGAUUUCUACCUAGAUUUCUGACUAAUGACAUGUUGAUUUGAGGAUUCUUGAGCCACUAGAAAUAGGAUUGUACUUCUUGAAUGUUGGGUACCAAUCACAAGUGUAGGUAUAAGCAAAGUAUCUAGAUUAUAGGCUUUAUAGGGUUGCACUAGAACUCAUUAUACAGGCCAGAACUGAGAAAGUCACACAUGCUAGUCAGACAUCAAGUCAGAAACAAUUUAAUUGGUAGAUAAUGUCACUUCCAGUCCAUGCAGGUGGAUUUAUUUGGGGUUUUUGUUCAUUUCAGUCCUCUCUCUGUGCACCCCUGUAUCAGAUGCAAC